ensembl:misc_RNA Metazoa_SRP Metazoan signal recognition particle RNA
GCCGGGCGCAGUGGCUCACGCCUGUAAUCCUAGCACUUUGGGAGGCCGAGGCGGGUGGAUCACCUGAGGUCGGGAGUUCGGGACCAGCCUGACCAACAUGGAGAAACCCCGUCUCUA